AUGACUGGGGUGAAGUCGUAACAAGGUAACCGUAGGGGAACCUGCGGUUGGAUCACCUCCUUACCUGUAAGA
rnacentral:rRNA from 1 species